GAUGAACGCUGACAGAAUGCUUAACACAUGCAAGUCAACUUGAAUUUGGGUUUUUAACUUAGGUUUGGGUGGCGGACGGGUGAGUAACGCGUAAAGAACUUGCCUCACAGCUAGGGACAACAUUUGGAAACGAAUGCUAAUACCUACUAUUAUGAUAAUAGGGCAUCCUAUAAUUAUGAAAGCUAUAAGCGCUGUGAGAGAGCUUUGCGUCCCAUUAGCUAGUUGGAGAGGUAACGGCUCACCAAGGCGAUGAUGGGUAGCCGGCCUGAGAGGGUGAUCGGCCACAAGGGGACUGAGACACGGCACUUACUACUACGGGAGGCAGCAGUGGAGAAUAUUGGACAAUGGAACAAGAGUCUGAUCCAGCAAUUCGGUGUGCACGAUGAAGUUUUUCGGAAUGUAAAGUGCUUUCAGUUGGGAAGAAAGAAAUGACGGUACCAACAGAAGAAGUGACGGCUAAAUACGUG
rnacentral:rRNA from 1 species